GAAAUGCGAUAAGUAGUGUGAAUUGCAGAAUUCAGUGAAUCAUCGAAUCUUUGAACGCACAUUGCGCCCUUUGGUAUUCCUUAGGGCAUGCCUGUUCGAGCGUCAUCUAAACCUUCAAGCCCUGCUUGGUGUUGGGUGCCUGUCCCGCCUCCGCGCGCGGACUCACCUCAAAUCCAUUGGCGGCCCCCGCGUCGGCCACGAGCGCAGCAGAAACGCGAACUCGUUAGCCCGUCCGGGCGGCUCCCAGAAGCUACACCCACCCAGUUUGACCUCGGAUCAGGUAGGGAUACCCGCUGAACUUAAGC
rnacentral:misc_RNA from 1 species